AACGAACGCUGGCGGCAGGCUUAACACAUGCAAGUCGAGCGCCCCGCAAGGGGAGCGGCAGACGGGUGAGUAACGCGUGGGAAUCUACCCAUCUCUACGGAAUAACGCAUGGAAACGUGUGCUAAUACCGUAUACGUCCUUCGGGAGAAAGAUUUAUCGGAGAUGGAUGAGCCCGCGUUGGAUUAGCUAGUUGGUGGGGUAAAGGCCUACCAAGGCGACGAUCCAUAGCUGGUCUGAGAGGAUGAUCAGCCACACUGGGACUGAGACACGGCCCAGACUCCUACGGGAGGCAGCAGGGGGGAAUAUUGGACAAUGGGCGCAAGCCUGAUCCAGCCAUGCCGCGUGAGUGAUGAAGGCCCUAGGGUUGUAAAGCUCUUUCACCGGAGAAGAUAAUGACGGUAACCGGAGAAGAAGCCCCGGCUAACUUCGUGCCAGCCGCCGCCGUAAAAC
rnacentral:rRNA from 1 species